rnacentral:lncRNA from 1 species
GCGAUUCUCCUGCCUCAGACUCCUGACUAGCUGGGACUACAGACGUGAAAAUACAUAUCAAAAACACUGUGCAGGCACCAGAGUCCUGAGAUUGUCAGAGAAUUUCUCACAGCAAUGAAAAGCCACAAGUUGACCAAAGUUGGGGCUUUCCCAUGUGCCAAGACUGGUCUCGAAAUACUGGACUCAAGCAAUCCCCCCACCUUGACCUCCCAAAGUGCUGGGAUUACAGGCCGAGCUAUGACACCCAGCCUUCAGUUAUACAUUUCAAAGAACAUAAAAUAAUUUCCAUUAUAUUCAUUUAUUCUUUCACUCAUCUAAAUACUUAUUGAGCAUGUACUGUGUGCACUGACGCUACGUGCCGGGGAUCCAGAAGUGAACGAGCCAGACGAGGUGCUGCCCUUGUGGACCUUAAAUUCUAUUUAGGGAAGAGAAACAAUAAACAUGUAAACACAUUCCAGAUUACCUGCAGCAAUGGACACACCUUGUAACAGAUACACAGGAAAAUUAGAAGGGGAAACUCUAGAUCAGUGCUUCUGAAAUUUUUAAAGCACAAUCACUUUGGGGUCUGGUUAAAAUGCAGCUUUUCCUUCAGUGGGUCUGUGGUGGGGCCUAAGACUCUGCAUUUCCAGAGAAAACACAACACAAAAUGAAAUGCUUGCAGGCAACACUGACGCUUCUGGUCUGAAGCCCACACUUGGAGAUCCAUAGCUGUGGGCAGAGAAGGGGUGCAGCAAGCUCCUCUAGCUUGAUGAUCGGGAAGGACCUUUUCCAGGAAUGAAGUUUUGAAUGAGAUCCUGAGUGAUGGUAAGCAAUCGGUCUCAUGAGCAAUGGCAAGUCAAAGGCCUUGAGGUAGGAAUGAGCUGUGGGUGUGCCAAGGAAGGCCACUGAGGCUGGGGCAUGGUGAUUGAGGAGAGUGACAGGAGAACUGGGAGCGAGUCCAAUCAUUUACAUUAUUUAGGGCCUUGUGUGUAGGCCAUGCCGAAGAGUUUGAAUUUUAUUCUAAUUGCUAUGAAAGACGUUUAGUAGCUUUCAAACUGGAGAGUGAGAUAAGCUUAUUUAUGAUCACUCUUCGCUGCUGCAUAAAGAACAAACUGCUGGAGGCCAGAGUACAGAUGGGGAAACUAUAUGUAAUCAAACCUCUUAGCCCUACUCAUCCCAGGCAGGAAUUCCAAUUUAAAUCACUGCCUUUGGCAACAGAAAUAAAUGGCAUACUGCCAAAAUUAUCAUGGCUAAACAGAAUUUUUAUAUAUUCAAAGCACUGGUCUAUGCCUGAUUAUUCAUGUAAGAACACAUGGGUAUUUUCCUCGAAAACAAUGUGGCAAUCCACAAAUGAAUAUAUUAUCAAAGUUAUACAUGCAUAAGGUUUCAAAAUAAAAUAAAAUCAAAGCCUUCUAAUACAGAGAUGUUCCCUCCUCCAGCCCUCCCCAAGUCAGUUCUCAUCCCAGAGGCAUCCACUUUGAUGUCUGUUA